GUUUAGCCCAGAUAAUAACAGAAAUCCUUUUAUAAUUUUAGGUUAGUUUUUCUUGAUGAAAAAAAACGACCAACGGAAGUUCUUUUUUUAUUUAGAAAAACAACCUAAAAUUGUGAAAGAUUGCAGUGAAUAGCUGGAAAUAGC
rnacentral:sRNA from 1 species